rnacentral:rRNA from 1 species
CAUUAAGAUGAUAAGGGCGUAUGGUGGAUGCCUUGGCACCGAAAGCCGAUGAAGGACGUGGCAAGCUGCGAUAAGCCGUGUGGAGCCGCAAGCGGGCUAUGAUGCACGGACUUCCGAAUGGGGAAACCCAACUGGGGUCAUUCCCAGUUACCCCCGUCUGAACACAUAGGGCGGGUGGAGGGAACCCGGGGAAAUGACACAUCUGAGUACCCGGAGGAAUAGAAAGAAAGUCUCGAUUCCCUGAGUAGCGGCGAGCGAAAGGGGAACAGCCCAAACCGAGUACGUGAAAGCCUGUGGGCGUUGCGUAUUGGGGGUAGUAGGACCAACAUGGUCGUCCCACAGGGCGGCCGGGGAGUUACAAAACGCGCGGGUAGCCGAACAGUCUGGAAAGUCUGUCCGAAGAGGGUUAGAGGCCCGUAGGCGAAACUCGAGCGACUCCCUCGUUGGCACCUGAGUAAGUCCGGACACGUGAAACCCGGAUUGAAUCCGCGGGGACCACCCCGCAAGGCUAAACACUAACGGUGACCGAUAGCGAACCAGUACCGUGAGGGAAAGGUGAAAAGUACCCCGCAAGGGGAGUGAAAUAGUACCUGAAACCAUACGCCUACAAGCGGUCGGAGCAGAUCUUCGGAUUUGUGACGGCGUACUUUUUGCAUAACGGGCCAGCGAGUUGCUGGUGCUUGGCGAGGUUUAGCGUAGAGCGAGCCGAAGCGAAAGCGAGUCUGAAUAGGGCGAUUCCAGUCAAGUGCCGCAGACCCGAAACCGGGUGAGCUAUCCAUGGCCAGGCUGAAGCGAGGGUAAGACCUCGUGAAGGGCCGAACCGACUUAGGUUGAAAACUGAGCGGAUGAGCUGUGGAUAGGAGUGAAAGGCUAAUCAAACCCGGCGAUAUCUGGUUCUCCCCGAAAUAUAUUUAGGUAUAGCCUGGCGCGUUUCGUCGCGGGUGUAGAGCACUGUUUGGACGCGGGGCCCUACAAGGUUACCAACUUCAGACAAACUCCGAAGACCGUAGACGUAAGAGCGCCGGAGUCAGGGACGCGGGGAUAAACUUGUGUUCCGAGAGGGAAACAACCCAGACCGUCGGCUAAGGUCCCUAAAUAACGGCUAAGUGGUUUAAAGGAUGUGGCGCUGCACAGACAACCAGGAUGUUGGCUUAGAAGCAGCCAUCAUUUAAAGAGUGCGUAAUAGCUCACUGGUCAAGUGGUGUUGCGCCGAAAAUUCUCGGGCCUUGAGUCGUUUACCGAAGCCACGGACUUCAGUCUAACUGGAGUGGUAGGGGAGCAUCCUGUAGCGAUCGAAGCGGCGGCGUAAGCCAGCCGUGGACGUAUCAGGAGAGAGAAUGCUGGCAUGAGUAACGAGAGACAGGCGAGAAACCUGUCCGCCGAAAGCCUAAGGGUUCCUGGGUAAAGCUAAUCUUCCCAGGGUCAGUCGGGACCUAAGCCGAGGACGAAAGUCGUAGGCGAUGGACAGCAGGUCGACAUUCCUGCACUGCGCACGUAGCGUUUGAGCGAUGGAGGGACGGAGAAGGGUAGGCCAACCACGGCGCUGGUAGACCGUGGGC